rnacentral:rRNA from 1 species
UACAGAGGUCUCAAGCGUUGUUCGGAUUCAUUGGGCGUAAAGGGUGCGUAGGCGGCGCGGUAAGUCGGGUGUGAAAUCUCGGAGCUUAACUCCGAAACUGCAUUCGAUACUGCCGUGCUUGAGGACUGGAGAGGAGACUGGAAUUACGGUGUAGCGGUGAAAUGCGUAGAUAUCGUAAGGAAGACCAGUGGCGAAGGCGGCAUCCUGGACCAUGACUGACGCUGAGGAGCGAAAGCCAGGGGAGCAAACGGG